AUAACCCUUUGUGAACAUACCUCAAACGUUGCCUCGGCGGGCAGCCGGAGCCCAGCUCCGGCGCCCGGAGCCGCCUUCUCGGCGCGCCCCACCCGCCGGCGGACCACUAAACUCUAUUGCAACGACGUCUCUUCUGAGUGGUACAAGCAAAUAAUCAAAACUUUUAACAACGGAUCUCUUGGUUCUGGCAUCGAUGAAGAACGCAGCGAAAUGCGAUAAGUAAUGUGAAUUGCAGAAUUCAGUGAAUCAUCGAAUCUUUGAACGCACAUUGCGCCCGCCAGCAUUCUGGCGGGCAUGCCUGUUCGAGCGUCAUUUCAACCCUCAAGCACCGCUUGGCGUUGGGGCCCUACGGCUUCCGUAGGCCCCGAAAUACAGUGGCGGACCCUCUCGGAGCCUCCUUUGCGUAGUAACAUACCACCUCGCACUGGGAUCCGGAGGGACUCCUGCCGUAAAACCCCCCAAUUUAUCAAG
rnacentral:rRNA from 1 species